UGACACAUAGUACAAUGGUAGUACACAUUACUACGGAUGAUGUUAUAGGUGUUCGAUUCACCUUGUGUCAU
rnacentral:tRNA from 1 species